GCGGCAUCCAGCCGAAUAAAGGAAACUGAAAAUCUACUAUAAAGUACAAAGUCCAUAUAUAACUUCCCUUAGCAGAGGACCGUAGUCAUCAGAGAGUUCGGCGUUCAGGCAGACAGAUCCCGUGGGCAGAUAAACAGAGAAGAAGCAUGGCAGCGAAAAGUGGCAUCAGUGCCGUUGAUAUGGAGAUCACUUGGCUUGGCCAGAUGUCUUGUAUUUGUGCCUAUAAGAACCGAGAGAUGAC